ensembl:lncRNA
UAUGCCCUGUUUUCAAUGUAUAAUUUAAUGGAUUUUCUACCUUCUCCCCUCCCCCUGUGUGCCACUCAGUAAUAAUAUAAUUAUGGAAUAUCUUCAAAGGUUGGACUAGACCAAGCAUAAUAUUCAAAAGGUACUCUCAUCUUUCAAGACCUUCAGUUGCCCCCAAGGAAAAGAUGCGCAGAAAGGCACUCAGACUGGUGACACAGCAUUUUCCAGCAUGUACCCAGACAGGACAAGAGAGGGACAAAUGUUCCAGCAAGGAUGUACAGAUUCACCAACAACCAGCUUCCAGCCCCAGCAACUGUGUAUUUGAAGUGGAAGAGUCACUAAUCAGAGAACAGAAAUACUUUCCUUGGAAGCUCAUGUGGAAAGUUAUGAGCAGAUUUCUACCAGAAAAGAAAGAUUUGCUGUGUAGCAGGAGGCAAUGUCAC